rnacentral:misc_RNA from 2 species
CAGGACUCGCAAGACUCCUUAAACCCCUGUGAACUUACUGUUUAUACGUUGCUUCGGCGGGUGCUCCGGGGUCCGCCCCGGGGCGCUGCGCCCGCCGGCAGCCUACUUAAUUCUGUUUCUCUGCGUUGGCAUCUCGAGUAAGCAAAAUAAGUUA